rnacentral:misc_RNA from 1 species
GUGAGAGUAAAGACUGAUCGAAGACUGAGGAGUGAGGACAGAGGAUUGAGGAGCGUUGGCUUUUGCUGUGAGUGAUACUGAUACUCUGGUUUUCUUCAUCUCUGGUGAGAACCUCUCAAAUCUUGAUGUGAAUUGUGAUAUCAUGUUGAUUCUUUGUAUGGGGGACAUGGGCAAAAUAACCNUUAAGAGUUUUCUGGAAAUGCAUACAGGUGAAGGAACAAUUUUUGCCAUCAAGAUAAGGGAAACCAAAAAUGGGGGUCCAAGAAAAUAUGCUAUUGUUCAAUUCAUGACCGUCAGAGAUGCUGAAUAUAUUCUCUCUCUGACUAAUGAACGACUUUGGUUUGGUACUUCAUAUAUUAAGGCUCGGCCGAUGGAUCUUGAUAUUGUACCAAAGCCCAGGACCUUUUUGCACAGUAUGGAACAUAUAACACUGCAUUUUGGAAGUCAGUUGUCAAAAGAAAAAUUUUGUGUUCUAUGGAAAGGUACAGAUGUUUUAGUGAAUUUUGGAUCUGGAAUGAGAAAAUUGCACUUUUAUCUAUCUCAUCAUCACGUGGAGUACAAGCUUGACCUUUCCUAUGAGAACAUUUGGCAGAUAGAGCUAUAUCGUCCUCGUGGUCAAUUUGUGAAGUAUCUUGUGAUUCAGUUAUAUGGUGCACCACGGAUUUUUGAGAAAGAUAUACGCCCGUCAUGGAAUGUGUAUGAGAAUCCACUUUUCAACUUUUUUAAGGAUGUCCCAGAUGACCAGUGGAUCAGGACAACUGAUUUUACUCCAUCAUGCCUUAUUGGGCAUUCAGCUGCAUUAUGUUUGGAACUUCCUUCCAGUCUCCGAGUUCCAAAUUUUCAGGAGAACUUUGCUUAUUAUAAAGAAACUGAAGGAAAUUUUGUUUUACAGAGUGGUUCUGCUUUUUCUCGCAAUCUGGAUCUAGUUCCCAUUGUGGGUCCUCCCUCUGGUUUUGAUUUGCCAUAUGAAAUCUUAUUUCAGGUUAAUUUGUUGGUUCAGAAUGGGUGCCUUCCAGGGCCAGCACUUGAUGCUAAUUUUUACAAGUUGGUUGAUCCGAGCAGAAUGAAUAUUGUCUGCAUAGAGCAUGCUCUUGAGAAACUUUUUCACUUGAAAGAAUGUUGUUAUGAACCUUCUAGGUGGCUCAAUGAACAGUAUAGAAAGUAUCUUAUGUCUAAGAACCAUCCAAAAUCGCCUUCUAUAUCCUUAGAUGCUGGUUUGGUAUAUGUGCGCAGGGUUCAAAUAACACCUUGUAAAGUGUAUUUUUGUGGUCCAGAGGUUAAUGUCUCAAACCGUGUGCUACGCCAC